GUCCAUUCUAUGACUUCUUUUGGUUUUGGUGUUUUAGAUUAGACUCUAGAUUUCAAGGGGUUUUCUGGAAAGCUGCUAGAAUAGGCAGCCGAGAGAGGUGUCUCAGUGAGGGAUUGUAUGUAUGAAUCGUUCCACUCACUACACACUUACGAGGACGGGAGUUACACAUAUAAAAGGGCUGCUGAUAUUGAUGUAAGUUCUACAGCCAGAACUUGCUAUAUUCUGUUGUAACUGAGAUAUGUGGUAGAUUCAAUUUACUAUCAAUAGGUUUUUCUUUUUGCUGCCA